GACUAUUGCGAUGGGGGGACGGAGAAGGCUAGGUGGGCCAGGCGACGGUUGUCCUGGUUCAAGUGCGUAGGCUUGAGAGUUAGGUAAAUCCGGCUCUCUCUAAGGCUGAGACACGACGUCGAGCUACUACGGUAGUGAAGUCAUUGAUGCCAUGCUUCCAGGAAAAGCCUCUAAGCUUCAGAUAGUCAGGAAUCGUACCCCAAACCGACACAGGUGGUCGGGUAGAGA
rnacentral:rRNA from 1 species